rnacentral:misc_RNA from 1 species
CGUGGUAAACAUCAACCCAUGAUCAACCAUCACCUGCCGCCCAUAAUCCCGUCCAUUGUGAUCCGUCCACCCAUACCUACUAAGCUCAUCAGAAUCCUUACAAUCAUGCCGCAAAUGAUACUGCCCGUCCUUCACCCCAAUCCACAUCAACCCCGCAAUCAACGAACUCGGCGUUCGGGCACGAAUGCCAAGGUAGACAUGGGGACGGUAAGUGCCCCAGUAGAG